UUUAUGGAGAGUUUGAUCCUGGCUCAGGAUGAACGCUGGCGGCGUGCCUAAUACAUGCAAGUCGAGCGAACGGACGAGAAGCUUGCUUCUCUGAUGUUAGCGGCGGACGGGUGAGUAACACGUGGAUAACCUACCUAUAAGACUGGGAUAACUUCGGGAAACCGGAGCUAAUACCGGAUAAUAUUUUGAACCGCAUGGUUCGAAAGUGAAAGA
rnacentral:rRNA from 1 species